rnacentral:tRNA from 1 species
UGGCAAGAAGUGAAAAUUUUACACUCGGUUUCGGCCCGAACUCUGGCUCAGAAUGAGCCCUUGCUAU